rnacentral:rRNA from 1 species
UGAACGCUGGCGGCGUGCCUAAUACAUGCAAGUCGAGCGGCAGCACGGUCUUCGGACUGGUGCGAGCGGCGGACGGCAGAGUAACGCGUAGGAACAUGCCCCAAAGUGAGGAAUAACUGCCCGAAAGGGUGGCUGAUGCCGCAUAUGCUCUUCGGAGUAAAGCUUUAUGCGCUUUGGGAGUGGCCUGCGUCCGAUUAGCUUGUUGGUGAGGUAAUAGCUCACCAAGGCGACGAUCGGUAGCUGGUCUGAGAGGAUGAUCAGCCUGACUGGAACUGAGAACGGUCCAGACUCCUACGGGAGGCAGCGGUAGGGAAUUUUCCACAAUGGGCGAGAGCCUGAUGGAGCAACGCCGCGUGCAGGAUGAAUGCCUUCGGGUUGUAAACUGCUUUUAUGUGCGAAGAAUUUGACUGUAACACAUGAAUAAGGGUCGGCUAACUACGUGCCAGCAGCCGCGGGAAU